rnacentral:rRNA from 1 species
UACGUAGGGUGCGAGCGUUGUCCGGAAUUAUUGGGCGUAAAGAGCGCGUAGGCGGUCCGGUAAGUCCGCUCUGAAAGUCCGGGGCUCAACCCCGGGAGGCGGGCGGAUACUGUCGGGCUAGAGUCCGGAAGAGGCGAGUGGAAUUCCUGGUGUAGCGGUGAAAUGCGCAGAUAUCAGGAAGAACACCCGUGGCUAAGGCGGCUCUCUAGUACGGUACUGACGCUGAGACGCGAAAGCGUGGGGAGCGAACAGG